rnacentral:lncRNA from 1 species
AGUGUCACAAAUUCCAGGGCCAACUCUCCUUCCCAUUCUAUACAAAGACAACAAAAAUGAAAAGAAACUAGGAAGAUGGUUCUGAAGAUUGCUCCUUUUCUUUGGGAAAGAAACCAUGCAAAGUUUCAGAGUAUACAAGUACCACAGGGCUUAUUUGAUGUUCAACAACACCAACAAUUUUGGGGAACCUGAGAGUGAUCAAUGGCCAAAGGAAACAAUUAAU